GAGAGUGUGGCGAAAUUGGUAAACGCUGCGGACUUAAAAUCCGUUGCUUAGGCUUGUAGGUUCGAAUCCUAUCACUUUCA
rnacentral:tRNA from 1 species